GGCAGAUUGGCCGAGUGUUCUAAGGCGCUGCGUCUGGGCCGCAGUCCGAAAGGGCGUGGGUUCGAAUCCGCUUGUGUCA